rnacentral:piRNA from 1 species
UGCUGGCACUGCGAUUGGCGACACCAGCAG